ACAUCGUGAUGUGGACAUUUCCUUAGCAAGUCGUUCAAUCUCUCCCACGCUUCAUGUAGGGGUUCUCCAUCCCCUUGUGAAAAUUCACAAAUUGAUAUGCGCAUGG